rnacentral:rRNA from 1 species
CAAUAGCGUAUAUUAACGUUGUUGCAGUUAAAAAGCUCGUAGUUGGAUUUCUGGAGGGAGCGUCGGCCCGUAUUUACGAGUGCGUGACGUCUCUGUCCAUCCUUGCGGGAAGGCACGGCAUUGAUUUGUUGUGUCGGAUCGCAUCAUUUACUGUGAAAAAAUUAGAGUGUUCAAAGCAGGCUUUCGCUUGAAUACAUUAGCAUGGAAUAAUAAGAUAGGACUUUGGUGCUAUUUUGUUGGUUGAGCCUAAAGUAAUGAUUAAUAGGAUAGUUGGGGGCACCUGUAUUGCGUUGUCAGAGGUGAAAUUCUUGGAUUUACGCAAGACAAACAGCUGCGAAAGCGUCUGCCAAGGAUGUUUUCAUUAA